rnacentral:lncRNA from 1 species
GGCCGGUCGGACGUGGAAGAGUCGCCCAGAAGCUGGGGGGAGGAGAGGGCUGGCGUUGUCUUCUCGGCUGAGAGACGUUGCCCGGGUUCUUUGCUCUCACUGGCCUCACCUUUGACCUGGCCCCCUGUAGAACCAGCCGGGAGGGGAGGCGUUAGGUCCGAAAGCUUCAUUAUAGCGACACUGCCCCGAGGAAGUAAGCGCAGGCCUCGGAAGCCAACUGCGGGCUCUUGAGACGUUUUGAUACACCUGAUCCUUUGUUCUCGCUAGGACCGCUGAGGCCGUAAAGGUGUGGGGCCCAGUUGAUACCUAGGGAAAUGGAGUUCUAUCUUGCCCUUCACUCCUAGGGGCUCUCCGAUCGGGUGGCUGGAGGAAGAUGGGAAGGAGGUGGGACUGAAAGAUCCUUAGAUAGGAAGAAAAGGAGGAAGAAACGAGGACGGGGAGCUUGGAAGGCUCUGAGUUAUAGCUGCGAGUUUAGUUUAUGGGUAGCAGCGGGACUAGUGAGUGUCUCCCUUUCUUAGACGUUUUGCCCAUCUGUCCACACGAAGUAAGAUUUCAGCCUCUUUGCUGCCUUUUGGAGAAACACUCAGCAGUAGUCUUUGCAUAUCAACAGUACCCCAAUUUUUUUGCUUUUGCUGAGAAUAUGCCUUUAUUUCUAGGAAGCAUCAUGCAUGUGCUUUUGUUUGUUUGUUUUCGAGACAGGGUUUCUCUGUGUAGCCCUGGCUGUCCUGGAACUCACUCUGAACUCAGAAAUCCGCCUGCCUCUGCCUCCCAAGUGCUGGGAUUAAAGGUGUGUGCCACCACGCCCAACUAUGCAUGUGCAUUAUUAUAGGCAAAACCAGCACACAUGGAGAUCACAGUAAAAGGCCGCUCUGAUUUCACUGUUGCCAUGGAGACUGUAACAAAGUCUGAAGGAAGCAAUAGGCCAAGUUGGCCUGAAAAUUGAUGUCCUCCGUACCUACGAUGCAGCAACUCAGGAUGGAGCCCAUGAUGCACAUUUCUGCUGGCCAGCAGAAGAGGUUGGGGUGACGACAGACAUGGCCCAGACCAGGC